UUACGACUACAUAUCAGGCAUAUCAAUAAGCGGAGGAAAAGAAACUAACUAAGGAUUCCCUUAGUAACGGCGAGUGAAGCGGGAAGAGCUCAAAUUUGAAAUCUUCAAGGUUUUACCUUGGACGAAUUGUAGUUUAAAGAAGUGUUUUCUGUUGAAGUUUUGGUAAAAGUUCUUUGGAAUAGGACAUCAUAGAGGGUGAGAAUCCCGUAUUUGACCAUUAUUUUCAGCUGUGUGAUACACUUUCAAAGAGUCGGAUUGUUUGGGAAUGCAGUCCAAAAUGGGUGGUAAAUUUCAUCUAAAGCUAAAUAUUGGCGAGAGACCGAUAGCGAACAAGUACCGUGAGGGAAAGAUGAAAAGAACUUUGAAAAGAGAGUUAAACAGUACGUGAAAUUGUCAAAAGGGAAGCGUUUGACACCAGUGUUGCUUUUCUCGAAAAUCAAUUAAAAAUAGUUGGAUUUUGUGUUGUAUUGACCUUAACAGCUUGCUUCACUCUUUUCCAGCUUUUUUUAAUGCACUUUUCGUUUAAACAAGUCAACAUCAGUUUCUUUUGUUGUAAAAGGGUCAUUGGAAGGUGGCUUUCUCUUCGGAGAAAGUGUUUAUAGCCUUUGAUCUCUGCAAUCGAGAGACUGAGGUCUGCAGCGUAGAUCCUUCGGGGUUAGAUACAUUUGUGCUAAGCUACAGCUUUUCAUAGACAACUUGUUGACUAUGUUUAGUCUUGUGACUUACCCGCUUAUGCUAUUUUACCUACGCUUAGGAUGUUGAGCGCAUGUCUCUCUCU
rnacentral:rRNA from 1 species